rnacentral:rRNA from 1 species
GAUGAACGCUGGCGGCGUGCCUAAUACAUGCAAGUCGAGCGAACGGACGAGAAGCUUUCUUCUCUGAUGUUAGCGGCGGACGGGUGAGGAACACGUGGAUAACCUACCUAUAAGACUGGGAUAACUUCGGGAAACCGGAGCUAAUGCCGGAUAAUAUUUUGAACCUGAUGGUUCAAAAGUGAAAGACGGUCUUGCUUUCACUUAUAGAUUGAUCCGCGCUGCAUUAGCUAGUUGGUAAGGUAACGGCUUACCAAGGCAGCGAUGCAUAGCCGACCCGAGAGGGAGAUCGGCCACACUGGAACUGAGAAACGGUCCAGACUCCUACAGGAGGAAGCAGUAGGGACUCUUACGCGAUGGACCAAAGCCUGACGGAGCAACGCCGCGUGAGUGAUGAAGGUCUUCGGAUCGUAAAACUCUGUUAUUCGGGAAGAACAUAUGUGUAAGUAACUGUGCUCAUCUUGACGGUACCUAAUCAGAAAGCCACGGCUAACUACGUG